AUACUUCCCUGGCAGGGAAGGUGCCAUGAUCAUGAAGAUGGUUUUCCCAGAGUGGGGCUCACCCACUGCACUCCAGGUAGGCUGACCCCUGCCAUUUCUCCAAAUGCAGGAAACUCAACUGCAUAAUUUGUGGUAGUGGGGGACUUUGUUCAUGCUUCUCCU